CAAAGUAAAGCUAAAUAGCUGAGCAUUUCACUUACAUUGAAAAAAAUUAUCGUGCAAAUCGAUUUACUUUGA
rnacentral:tRNA from 1 species